GCCAAGAUACGCCGGAGCAAGGCCGGAAACGACAAAAGAAUCUCGAAUCCACCAAGGUUUGGAUGAGUACCCUCGAGGUCUAGCCUCAAAUAUUCAGUGAGCAGGAGUGUGAGAGCAAUAGAUGGUGGGUCGAGGUCGUCCAUGGCUAUAUUUGCCAUGGAUUCCGGUGAUUUGAAGUUGGAGAAGGGUAGACAACUAUUAGGGUUUCAGGGGUUGAGAGAGUUUGAGAGAUAUGAGAGGAACCAAAGGC
rnacentral:lncRNA from 1 species